CGUGCAGGCGGUCCGUUAAGUCCAGGGUGAAAGCUCCCGGCUUAACUGGGAGAGGUCCUUGGAUACUGGCGGACUCGAGGGGGGUAGAGGAGAGUGGAAUUCCUGGUGUAGUGGUGAUAUGCGUAGAUAUCAGGAGGAACACCGGUGGCGAAGGCGGCUCUCUGGGCCCUACCUGACGCUGAGACGCGAAAGCGUGGGGAGCGAACCGGAUUAGAUACCCCGGGUAGUCCACGCCGUAAACUAUGGACACUAGGUGUGGGGGGUAUCGACCCCCUCCGUGCCGAAGCCAACGCAGUAAGUGUCCCGCCUGGGGAGUACGGCCGCAAGGCUAAA
rnacentral:rRNA from 1 species